GACGAACGCUGGCGGCGUGCUUAACACAUGCCAGUCGAACGGAAAGGCCCUGCUUUUGUGGGGUGCUCGAGUGGCGAACGGGUGAGUAACAAGUGAGUAACCUGCCCUUGACUUUGGGAUAACUUCAGGAAACUGGGGCUAAUACCGGAUAGGAGCUCCCGCUGCAUGGUGGGGGUUGGAAAGUUUCGGCGGUUGGGGAUGGACUCGCGGCUUAUCAGCUUGUUGGUGGGGUAGUGGCUUACCAAGGCUUUGACGGGUAGCCGGCCUGAGAGGGUGACCGGCCACAUUGGGACUGAGAUACGGCCCAGACUCCUACGGGAGGCAGCAGUGGGGAAUAUUGCACAAUGGGCGGAAGCCUGAUGCAGCAACGCCGCGUGCGGGAUGACUGCCUUCGGGUUGUAAACCGCUUUCGCCGGUGACGAAGCGUGAGUGACGGUAAUGGGUAAAGAAGCACCGGCUAACUACGUG
rnacentral:rRNA from 1 species